AGAACGAACGCUGGCGGCAGGCUUAACACAUGCAAGUCGAACGCUCGUAGCAAUACGGGAGUGGCAGACGGGUGAGUAACGCGUGGGAACAUACCCUCCGGUUCGGAAUAGCUCAGGGAAACUUGGAUUAAUACCGGAUACGGCCGAGAGGCGAAAGAUUUAUCGCCGGAGGAUUGGCCCGCGUUCGAUUAGCUAGUUGGUGAGGUAACGGCUCACCAAGGCGAUGAUCGAUAGCUGGUCUGAGAGGAUGAUCAGCCACAUUGGGACUGAGACACGGCCCAAACUCCUACGGGAGGCAGCAGUGGGGAAUAUUGGACAAUGGGCGCAAGCCUGAUCCAGCCAUGCCGCGUGAGUGAUGACGGCCUUAGGGUUGUAAAGCUCUUUCGCUCGGGACGAUAAUGACGGUACCGAGAUAAGAAGCCCGGCUAACUUCGCGCCAGCAGCCGC
rnacentral:rRNA from 1 species